AACGAACGCUGGCGGCAUGCCUAACACAUGCAAGUCGAACGAGACCUUCGGGGCUAGUGGCGCACGGGUGCGUAACGCGUGGGAACCUGCCCUUAGGUUCGGAAUAACUCCCCGAAAGGGGUGCUAAUACCGGAUAAUGUCUUCGGAGCAAAGAUUUAUCGCCUUUGGAUGGGCCCGCGUUUGAUUAGCUAGUUGGUAGGGUAAAAGCCUACCAAGGCGACGAUCCAUAGCUGGUCUGAGAGGAUGAUCAGCCACACUGGGACUGAGACACGGCCCAGACUCCUACGGGAGGCAGCAGUGGGGAAUAUUGGACAAUGGGCGAAAGCCUGAUGCAGCAAUGCCGCGUGAGUGAUGAAGGCCUUAGGGUUGUAAAGCUCUUUUACCCGGGAUGAUAAUGACAGUACCGGGAGAAUAGGCCCCGGCUAACUCCGUG
rnacentral:rRNA from 1 species